rnacentral:rRNA from 1 species
GCCGAUGUCCGAUUAGCUAGUUGGUGGGGUAAAGGCUCACCAAGCCGACGAUCUGUAGCUGGUCUGAGAGGACGACCAGCCACACUGGGACUGAGACACGGCCCAGACUCCUACGGGAGGCAGCAGUGGGGAAUUUUGGACAAUGGGCGCAAGCCUGAUCCAGCCAUUCCGCGUGCAGGAUGAAGGCCUUCGGGUUGUAAACUGCUUUGUACGGAACGAAACGGUUCUCUCUAAUACAGGGGCUAAUGACGGUACCGUAAGAAUAAGCACCGGCUAACUACGUGCCAGCAGCCGCGGUAAUACGUAGGGUGCAAGCGUUAAUCGGAAUUACUGGGCGUAAAGCGUGCGCAGGCGGUUUUGUAAGACAGAGGUGAAAUCCCGGGCUCAACCUGGGAACUGCCUUGUGACUGCAAGGCUGGAGUGCGGCAGAGGGGGAUGGAAUUCCGCGUGUAGCAGUGAAAUGCGUAGAUAUGCGGAGGAACACCGAUGGGCGAAGGCAAUCCCCUGGGCCUGC